CAGUCGCGUUCUCUGGGAUUCAGCCUUGCUUCUGCUUGGUGCAUUUCUGUGGAGUGUGAUGAGCUUAACACCUUCAUGCUUUGCAUAUUUGUGCUCUUGGGUGUACUUGCCCGUGUGGUUGGUUAACAUCAAUUUUGGUUAUCAUAAAAUGAUUGGAGGAAUGUAGCUUCGAUCUCGUAUUGAAGUGUUAUAGCCUUCGGUAGAUGUGAUGAACGAGAUUGAGGAUUGCAACGGAUACCCUUCGGGGCUACCUGUCUGGUCUCUGAUCGUUGCUCUGGUGCCGAAAGCUUGCUUACGGUCAUCAAAGUCGAUGGUCAAUAGGUUAGAACGGGAUAAA
rnacentral:rRNA from 1 species